rnacentral:rRNA from 1 species
AAUAUGGGACAAUGGGGGUAACCCUGAUCUAGCCAUGCCGCGUGUGUGAAGAAUGACUUCGGUUUGUAAAGCACUUUAAGUAGGGAGGAAGGGCUCUAGGCUAAUACCCUGAAGUAUUGACGUUAGCAACAGUUUAAGUAUCGGCUAACUCUGUGCCAGCAGCCGCUGGAAUACAGAUGGUGCACGAGUUAAUCGGAAUUACUGAGCGUAAAGCACGCGUAGGUGGUUAAGUAAGAUGGGUGUGAAAUCCCCGGGCUUAACCUGGGAACUGCUUUCAUGACUUCUGAACUAGAGUACGAUAGAGAGUAGUUGAAUUUCCUGUGUAGCGGUGAAAUGCGUAAAUAUAGGAAGGAACACCAGUGGCGAAGACGACUACCUGGGCUAAUACUGACACUAAGGUGCGAAAGCGUGGGGAGCAAAC